AAUGAUAAUGUUACCAUAACUACAUGAAAGGAGGCACUUAGAAAUAGAUAUUUUUUGUUUUGUUUUACAAUGAUAAUGUUAAAGUACCUUUUCCGGUUCCAACGUUGUAGAUACCGACUUUAUGAGGCUGAGCUUUCUCAAGAGCCUUUACGUGAGCAUCCACGAGUCCGGGAAUGAAACCGCGAGCGGCAUCAAAACAAGCACCGGAGAUACGUCCCUGGUCACGAAGUUCGGGUCUUGGAGCUUCUCCUAAUCUACCUCCUGGAUCUGAACCAAUCACAUUGAAGUAUCUGCAAGUUCAGAGAUUCAUAAACAUUUGCAUAAUUGUUUCAUUGAUCAUAGAGUAACAAAAAAAGGCUAAAGAAUAUGCUCAAUGAACCUAACCUCAAGAUCAUAACAGCCAUGUCAGAGUUCUUAGAGAAAUCCAAGAUCAUGUCCUCUGCCAUCUUUUUAGCUUUCCCGUAAGGAUUAAUCGGAACCUAAAUCAAAUAUUUUCAUUAGAAGAAUGAGACAAAUGAAUUUGUAAUGAAUUAAUGAUCUUAAUUUUACCUGCGGGGUAUCUUCAGUAA